rnacentral:lncRNA from 1 species
AAUUUUCUAUUAAAAUUCUUAACUUUAAAACUAAAUAUAAAAAUUAAUGAAUUUAAAUUUAAUACAUAAACAUUGAUUCAAUAUGUAAUUUAAUACAUAAAAAAAACACACACAGACACACUCACAAAGUAUUACUAUUUCUAAAACAAUAUUCAUUGAUGAAGGCAAAGUAUUGCAAUGCCUGCAUAUAACUUAGAGAAGUCCUUUGAUGCUUUCAAUUCAACCGCCAGAGAAUCUAAAACACUAGAAUAGAGAGCCAAAUAUGCACCUGUAAGCCAAAGUUAGGCCAGUAAGGAAAUCACUUAUACGACCCUCAAAGCCACAUAUGUCAAAGCACAUUAUCCGAUCUCUUUGAAUUAUGAUAUGGAAAGAUAAAUUUUUAAUAAUGCCACCAUAAAGCAAGAAUCAGAAUUUGUUUCGACAAAAGUCAUUGAUCAUGUAAUUAAUCAUGUAAUCAGAAUUUAUGUAUAUAAUCAAUGACUUUACCUUUGGCAAACAUGGUGAUCAAGGAGUUGGAAAGUGAUUGAUAAGAGUGAUAAAGCUUUAAAUCUGUAAUCAAACCAAAUAUAUUUCUAAACCAACUAAAAAGGACUAUAGAAUGACCAAUACAGAAUGAGAAAAACCACACCAAAUAUUUUGAAAAACUUGAAUGAACAAAUAACAUUAAAAAACUUCCACAUGACUGGACCAAAAAAUAACAAUGAGGUAAUAUCUAUAUUAACAAUACAAAUCAAAUAAAUCUAAUUUAUUCUAGAUAACAAGCAGACAGUAUGAUACAAGGCAUAGGGGCUUCUUACCUUGCACUUAAGAUGUCAUUUAACUGUUUUAAAACUGCUGGGGAAGCCAAAUGGUCAAGCUCAGCUCUCAAUAUCACAAUGGGCAGCUUCUCACCUGCAAAUAUUCCCACACUAUCACUGCAGCUUUUUACUAUACUAGUUCAUAUAUGUAGCAAGUGCAGUUAGCAGGAUGUCUUCAAUUUUUAGUGAAACAUUUGUCUUAGAACCUUAAAAGCAGCUAAGAUUUAAUUUUCUAAUCUAAGUUUGCUAUGGCUAAAGACUCCAUAAACUAUGAAGUCGAAAUAGAUUCUAAUUAAGUAAUGCUAGUAAAAUGGGAAAGCUCUCUUAAAGUAAUCAUCUAAUAACUCCAAUCAUGCCCAAAACUUCAAUUUUUGCAUUAAGUGCAUCAUCAAAACAGUUUCAUGCUAUAGAUUAUGGAAAAAGCACUCUUGGCAAUCAUCAUAGAAGACAAGUUUUCUUAUCUCAACAAAGUUGCAUGAAUGUGCUAAUGGUAUUAGGUCCCAAAUAUUUUAAUAGUGAAUUGAUGGACCAUAGAUGAAUUUAUUUAGGUAAGUUGUAGAGCAGGUUAAUCAUCAAAAGUAGUAUUUGGUAUUCAAGGUCAUCAAUAUUGCAAUGUUGCUCAAACAUGCAUGUUUGAGAUUAUAAUAAGCAGUACUGUUAAAUAUCACACUUGGCAAGUGAACGAUGACAGGGCAAAAGCAAUGUUUCCUAUUUCUUUUUCAAAUUCUGUUUGAGAUUAUACAAGGUAUAGGGUUUAUGGCUUAGGUGCAUCAUAUCUACUCUUCUCUUAUCAUCCCAACCACAAGUUUAAUAGGUCUUUUACCAACUUAAUCUUAACAUAAACAUUGUAUUAGUUAAAACUCAAGCAUGUUAUUCAAGUAAUAACAAAUAAAAAAACAAGGCAAUUAAAAAAUGUAGUAGUUAAACUCAAGUAUGUUAUUCAAGUAAUAACAAAAGAUUCAGGUUUAAUUAUGAGCCCGGGAAGUGAGCUGAAGUACUUUUCCACUAUAAUCAAUGAAAUCUCUUCAGCCUGGUGUGAACUCAGUAAGCCUACAAUAGCAACAAAAAGGUACCUAUUUGAAUCAUUCAUCCAAAAAAAAAACACAGAUCAAAAUAUAAUUACACAAGUAAUCAUAUUUGUUAAAGAACAGAUUAGAGUGAAAAUUGUGUCCUAGAGAUCAAAAGAUGGCCUAAAUCAAAGAAGUGGAGAACAAAUAACAACAGGUUUUAUUAGUGCAAUAAAGAUGCAUAUUGAUAUGGACUUACAUGACUACAAAGCAUAUAUAAUACCAAAUAAUAUGCAGCUCCAGCCCAAGCAGUUUCAGCAAAGACACCUGUUGUCCUUUUCAUUUCUGAUGUUAAGUGUAUAACUCUAAGAAAUCGAGGGAUAUACUGAAACCAGACGAUGAAAAACAAGGCCUAUUUUGUUGCUAGCAAAUCUGAACCAUUUGAACCAUGAAGAAAUCGCCAAACAACAAUCUGCAUUUAUGAACAAAAUAAUGAGAAAACGGCAGGUGCUUUUGAUCAGCCACGUUGCAACUAGGAUGUCAUGCAGCAAUGAUAGCUCAUCAACAUUAUUCCCAGGUAGAGUUAACUACUACUCCCUAAUAUGACAAUGCACAUAUAAUCUUAACUUGGACAUCCAUAAUCAGCAUAGUAAGCACUUGAAGGAAAACAAUAUUCAACUAGAUUUUCACUUAAAAAAUCCUAUGGAUGUUAUAUUCAUUCUGUAUUAGGAAUUGAGAAUAUUUAUAUUGGCCUUGCCCUACAUGCGUUCAAAGCAUUACCUAUAUGAAUUAACAGUAGCCAAGGAUGAUAGACAAAAAUGCAAUGAAAAAAUUACUUCAACAUAGUCCAUAUAUGCAACACAAACCAUCAGUUGCUCCCGUGUUUCACACUUUAAAUAACAGAAUACAUGCAGUAAAGAGUGUGUCAAUGUGAAAGAAAAAAGAAGCAUGUAUACAAAGAAAGUUAAUACACAUAAAGCAGACAAUAAUGAAGCAAAACAAGAAGUAAGAAUGAACAAUACUACAACAUCAGAUGGAAUACAAAUAAAAUUGUGGCUCACCAAACAUGGAUACAUGAGAAGGAAAAAAAAUCAAUAAAGAAAGAUAUAAUGCAAGAAACAGAGAGCUAGAUGCAUUAGAACAAAUGAUAAUAUGCAGCAUUCUGCUAUUGAAUACUGAAGGAAACAACUGUUAAGACCUGUGGUAAUGGAAGCACAGCAAUAAAAUCAAGGAAGAAAUAUUGCAACAUGUAUCGCUUGAAAAGCAAAUUAAGAUAUACACAAGCCUAAAGGGAACCAGAAAAGCAAUCGUACAGUGUUAAGAAUAUUAGAAAACUGAAGUAACACGUCUAACUCACUUGAAAACAAGAUAACUAGAAAACGACUUAACCAAAAGCCUUCAUGACAAAGACAAGAAAAAAACAUUGGUUUAACCAUCCAUUAUUGACAUAAAUCUUUGUUUCAAUCACUAGUCUUCACCCAAGAGAACCUUUCCUUAAAUCAACUACACGUUUCAGUGCUUAUGUCCAAGAUUUGCAAAUUCGCUCCACUAAACCACUGGAACAAAAUCAAGCUUAUGGAUCAAGCUGAUCUUUGACAUUCAUCCAUAUUACAUUAGCAGGUAGCAAGCAUCAUUUUAGAAUCUUAUUUGAAAUGUCAUGAAUGAACUAAUUUUUGGCAAUAAAUCUUAACUCCUCAGCAGGAUAUCCAGGAAUAAUAGGCAGAAACGGAGUAUAAAGCUGGUGACAGUAAAUACUUGACUGUGGUGUGCUUACCAACAAAGCACACUGAGAAAUACCGUAAUACUUAAUUCAACAAACGUAUAAUAUUAUUACUAUAAACAAACUUCUCUUUCAAAAUCCAAAAUUCUAGAUCUCUGACAUGCAUUGGAAUGAAGAAACCAUCCCCAAUAUCAAAAAGCAAACAAAGUACGAAAGCCAAUGAAUCAAGACAACACUAUGAGAAACAUAAUUAUAGGCCUAAGUAUAGGCUUCGUUACCCGGGCUCAGAGCAAUUUGGGAUGCAGUACUCGUGUCGACACGAUCCGACACGGUAUACGGGUCAGAUUAAGCAAAAACCAGCGGAGGCGGUGGGCGAGAACUGAGAUAAGAAGAGAAUGAAGAAACCUGAUUUGUAAAUACGAGAGAGAGAAGAGGGGAUGGUAAGCUUCGUUGCCUUGACUCGGCAAUUGAGGUGCAGUACCUGUGUCAACACGAUCUGACACGGAUUACAGGUCAGAUCCGAAAAAAAUCAGUGGAGACGGCGGUGGGCGAGAACUGAGAUGAGAAGAAAAAAACUGAUUUGCAAAGACGAGGGAGAGAAGAUGGGCGAAUUUGGGGGCAAAUUUUCAGAGUAAAAGGGAAAAAAGAAUAAGUAUAAACUUUUAUUUGGGGAUUUAGGGCGCGACAGAGAUGAGAAGAAGAUGGAGUAAUGAGCGGGUGACCAAAAAUUAUUGUUCUUUUUGCGACGUUUUCAUCG